CAUUGAUUGCAGUUCACACAUAAUCGCUGUACACGAAAAGGACCAGACCACUAAAAACUGCUACCAAGAAUUAGGUAUCAGUGUCUCUUUCAGGAUACUGAACAAAAGAGUCGGUGCAAAGAAAACGAAUUAAUUUCAGGCAAAAGGAAAUCACUGAAAAUGGGCGGUGGUAGUAGUAACGAGAGUGCAAGAGCUGAGCAGGCUGAGCAAGAAUGCUACCGGGCUGACCAGGCACGCCAUCGAGCUGAGGAAGAACGCAAUCAGGCCGAGCAGGCACGACAACAAAUCCAGGAACAACUUUAUAGUUUACGACAAGAGAGAGAGCUAGCGAGAAUGAGAGAAGAAGAAAAGAGGAGAGUGACUGAAGCGAAUAGGUCUAGAGAACAACAAGAAAAGAACAGAAUUCAAAAUAGUCAUUAAUUAAUAUUACUACUACUAAUAUUACUAAUACUAAAAUCAUUUUUAUGAAUGAUCAAAACUUGGUUUAUGAAUUAGAAAUAUCACAUGGCACAGUUAAUAAUAUGCAAUGGAAAAUGAAUUAUUGAGAAACUUUACAAAUAAAGCCAACAUCAUGUCUUAAAAA